UUGUUACUUUAUUAAUAACAAAGAAAAGUAUUAAGUACAUAUUUUUAAGGGGAACAACAAUUAUUUAAUAUUAUAAAAUGUUUAUAUUGAUAAUUUUUCUAAUAAACCACAUUAUUAUGGAAGAUGAUAGAUAUAAACACCAAUACAAAUAUGAAACAUUAACUCAAAUUGGUAGAAUAAUAGAUUGCGCACAGGUCUAUUCAAGUUUCCUUGACUAGCCAAUGAGAAGGAUUUUGCAAUUAAAAUAUAAAACAUUAAGUGUCACCCUCAUAAAACGGGCCUAUAAAAGAGCGAUUUUUGGCUCAUUUAGCACCUCAUUUUUUUUUUCUAAAAGUUUGGUCAUGAAGUAUCUUUGAACCAGAAUAUUUCGCGAUUGUGCUCUCUAUGAUUUAAAAUUUUUUUUUAUACUUGGUGUUUAUUAUCUAAAUAUCUUAUAAGUAAUGUAAUAAAGACAAUAAUAACUUAAACUUUUUAUUUUGUUUAUUUUUUUUAAUUUUAAAUUAUUAUGAAUUAAUAUUUUUUUUAUUUUGUAUUUUGUGAGUUGUUCCAAUUAAGAAUUUUUAAUAAGUGCAUUUCGAAAAUCUACCUUAGCACAUCAAGUGGUUAAAACUGUUGGUAAAACAAUGGUUUAUGGCAUGUCACUAAAGAGAUCGUAGAGUGUAUCUUAAAUUUGAAUAGAUAAGUGUUUGAUUGAUUGCACAAGGUGCUGAUGUUUUAUUGAAGUCAUUACCCUAGCACAUCAGGCGGUUGAAAUUAUUGGUAAAACAAUAGUUUGUGACGUGUGCACUAGGGAUUGGUUCUCAUAAUCUAUCUGGUUACUUAAAUUUUCAUUUUAAAAUAUAAAGUAACACAAAUAUUCAAACACCAGGUAUAGAAAGGAACUACAGUGAAGUAAUAUUUCAAGUUUAAUAAUUUGCAUAAUUUUACAAAAAUAAAUAAGUAGAUAAAAGUCAGUGCUCUCUUUAUAUAUUUAUAUUUUUUUUGACGCAAUAAACGAUCAAGCUAGCUGGACACAAGUAGGGAGUGCGAUCGUCCCGUCGUCCAAGCCACGAUCCGUCACUGAUAAAUGCCAUUAGGGAGAUGCCCCUCGGAAAAAAUUUGAUACGUACAAGCCAUGCAAAGCUUAAACGGCUGAACAAAUUAAAUGAAUUGUACAAGUUUAAACGAAAAUUUAUUUUACGCGUAUAAGAGCGAUGGAAGUGUUUUUGUAAUUGAAAUACAUUAUAUAAAAGCUAAAAAUAGAACACGUAUAAUAGUAUGGCGGUUAGCAUGUUACAGUAAUAUUUCAUAAGUAGAAUUUUGUACGCGGCGUCUUAUAAAUUUUAUAUCAUUUCAAACAACUGGUGAUUAUGUACAAACAGAUGAAAUUGCGCGUUAUAAUUACAUUUUCUUCGAAAACGAAAUAUGUUUAAUUUAAUGAGUAAUAAUUUAAUAUAACAUUACUUACUAAGAAUUCCACGAAAUGCAGAAACGAAAUAUAAUAAAAAACGAUAACAAUAUUACACUAAUGACAAAGAAAAGUUUUAAAAUAAUGUUUCAAUGAUAAAAAUUAUUAUUUCUAAUAAAAAAACCAAAAACUAUUUUUUCUCCAGUAAAUUGUGUUUGUUUUAAGUAGCAUGAUUUUGAAUUAAAUACAAUGGGUAAAAUAUACUUUAAUGCGUCAAUAAUGAGAUAACGUCAAUGAUUAAUUAUGGUUGUAAACGUUGUUAUAAAGAAUAUUUCUAAAUACACUACUGUAUACACUCUUUUAAUUUUAUAAUAGUUUGUUAUAACCGGGGCUCGGGACUUAUAGCAUUUGCUAGAUAAUGCUUUUUUUUGCUAUUUUUGAUGAUUUUUUCAAAAAACGCUUAUUUUCAGUUUUUUCUGAUUUUUUCGAUGAUACAAUAAAAAACAAAUGCUUGUUUCUUGUUUUCUCUGUUUUUGUACAUUAAAAUAUUUUCUUUAUGACGCAGCCUACCCAAGUUUUUUUUAUCGGUUUUUGAUAGAUCUAAAGCCGGAUUCCCACGACUGGUGUACUUGCCAAAUAUUUGUCACUUGUGUACACUUGUCAAGCCGUCGGAACACUAUACUUGUACAAUUAUUGGUCACUUGUCAGUUUCCCGCAGAUUGUCGGUAAAUGUAACACAAGUCAAAGGAAUUAAUGGCUUGACAAGUUUACACUUGUAGUUCACUAGUGCACACUUGUGUACUUGUCAAAUACUUAUCCAAUAUUUGAUUUUAGGGUGGCUAUCGGUAACACAAUUUUUUCUUCCCCGCCCACCUAUAUUUGUGUAGUACAGCGGUGGUUUAUGUUGGCCUAAUUAGUUGAUUUAAUUUAAUAGAUAAGUAAAACUAUUUUAUAGUAUAAUUGUAAAUAUAAUUUAAUAGUUAAGGUUGAUUACAUAAUGUAUUAAUUAUAUAACUUAUUAAUUUAUGAAUGUUAAGUAUAAAGUAGAUAUUAUUGGAUAGUUUAAUAUUUUACUAAAAUGUUUAUAUUUGUAAAAUUCUGUUUCAUUUUUGCAAGUAAAAAAUUAUAUACGGUGCGUAGCUGAAACACUAUUAGUUAAAGAACUAUUUUAACUAAAAAAAUUAAUCUAAAAAGUUUAAAAACUAGCAAUACUAAAAAAUGUAUUUUAAAUCACUCACUGAAACGUCCAAACACUGCAGCGCAAAAAUGAUACAUGACUUAAUAUUUUUCAGGUCCCACCCCCAAUACAAUUAUUUGGCAUUUGAUCCAGUCGUAGGAAUAGUAUACUUGGCUUUUAUUUAUUACUUGUACAAGUGUACAAGUACUGGUAUACUUGUCAAGUAUACACUUGUUAAUAAUUGGAUGAUUUGGCAAGUAUACAAUUAUUGGUGUACUUGGCAAGUACACCAGUCGUGGGAAUCCGGCUUAAUAAGGAAAAUAAUUCAAUUGCCUUCCUUGUUUGUAGGAUUUUGUCUUUGUUAUCUUAUCUACUUGAUAGCCAACGCCGUCCUCGGCAUCGUUAACCUCUUUGGCUAUGGUUGAAGUGUCAUACUAGUGUGGUACUUGUUUAAUUUCCUUUUUAUAAUGGAUUUCUCGGUAAACAAUAUUUUUAGACCGUUAUGGCAUACUGGGAUAUCAACACAAAUUUAUAUUUAAUUUUUCAAAAAAUCCAUAAACAAGAUAUUAUUUAACAUUUCUUGUCAUUCCACUUGAAAGCCGACGUCAGACAUCAUUUUGAUUCUUUCAAAAUUAAUAUUUUAUAUAUAUUUUUUUUUAUAUUUUUAAUUUUAAUUAAAAGAAUAAAUUAAUAUUCAGUUUUCAUGUACCUAUAAUUCUACAAUCCAUUUUGCUUAUCAUACAAGUGGCUCAAUGUUAUAUUUAUAAUAUUAUUAUUUAAAAAAAAUUUAAACUUCGAAUAGCUACUACAAUGGUAUGUGCCACGAAAAAAUGCAGCUGAAUAACUAUUAGAUAUGAUAGGAGCCUUCUUUCUUACCAUUUAGCCUCUAAGAUACGUUUUUUGUGAUCUACAGUAUAGCAGUAGUUAUUCGAAGUUUUUUAUUUAAAUAAAUAAUUAUUUUAAUAUUACAACAUAGAGUCACUUUUAAGGUUAAGAAAAAUGGAUUGUAGAAUUAUAGGUACAUAAAAACUUAAUAAUAUUGUUUGUUUAACAAAAUCUAUUAAUAUUAUAAGAUUAAAAGAGUGUACACAGUAACGUAUAGAAUUUAACUUGGGGUGGGUAAUACAUAAGAAUCAUAUCUUAUUCCCUCUUGACAUAAUAACGAAACUAUGCAAUUUUUUAGCUUUAGGAUAUUUAGGAUUAUUUGACAACUUCUUUAAAAGGUUAGUUUACAAAAAUGUUAAAAUUAAAUUAAUUUUCUAAAAUUAUUGUAAAUAUAUAGAAUGUCUUAGACCAAACUGAUAACGCUUAUAACUUUUAAUAUAAUUAUUUUGUUGAAAUUUUUAAAAAAUAAUAAUUGUCUUUAUAGACUGCGUUUAAAGCAUAUUUUGUAUUAUUUAUCACUAAUAAAAUUAACAUUUUUAUUAUUACAGUUUUUUUUUCUUCAAAAUAGCCUUUUUUAGUCUUUUUCUUAAAAAAAAUGUUGAUAGGUCGAUAAUAAUUUUAGAAUUAUUACUAGUAGAGUUACAAGCGUUUUAAUGCAUUGAGUGGGUAUCGAACGCGGGUGGAGUUAAUAAUAAAUUUAUAUAUCAAGAGUCUGGCGGCGAAGUGUCCGGGUCCGGUCCCGCGUCGCGUCGUGAUACACGAUGCCACAUUUAUCAGCCCUUGCCCUACUAUGAAUAUUUGACUGACCAACACCGCGUGUCAUACGCCACGGUGCAAAGUCCAACAAGUGUCGCACGGCCGGCGACUACCCGCCACAAACGAUACGGUAGUCUUCUUCCCGUUGUCUAAGUGACGACGUCGAGGAUGUACGCCACCGGCUCCGGACGUGCUGCACGACCGGACUCGACGAACCCAACCGCAACCGCGCACCCGUCGUCAUCAACGCUGCUAACUUUUCGACAUCCGAGGAUCAUGCCGGACACCGCGUCGCGGACGCCAGCGAAAGAACAGUGAUAUGAUGCGAAGAUUAUUAUUAACUGUGUUCGUCUUUUCGGUUUGUUUGUUUCUUUAAAUAACCUGUUGUUGUUGAUAAUAAAUGGCCUGCGGGUCUCUACCCUCAAAAACAGUGCCGACUACAUUAUUACGACGUAAGUCGUGUCAGAUGUCAUAAUAUUGGUUUGUUUAUAUGUAUUUCAAACAGUGUUGGGGUACAGUAACGCUAAAUGACUUCGAAGGGUUCCAAAAUGAGUAUCAUAAAAAGUACAGUAAGUAAUCACCUUGAAAACUGUAUCUUUAUAAAUUUUGUUUAUAUUAUUUAUUUUUAGUACUCAAGCUUAAUUCCUUUUGUGUAUAUAUAGUCUUAUCAUUAAAUUUACAUAUGUCUGAAUUAUUUGAAUUAAUAUUUCAUUAUAGUUUUAUUAAUAAAAUACUACAAUAUCGUAUUACAAUUUAAUUUUAUUGAAAAAUGUUCCAUUUUUUAAAUAUCGCUUAUUUAAUUUAAAAAGGCAGCAAUAUAUUGUUGGUAUACAGGGCGAUUCCUUAAUUACGUCUCACUUAAUUUCUUUGAUAACUUAAAUGAAAUAAAAACUUUUUUUUACAAAACUUUCGUAUAUUCCUAUGCACUCCAGUUAUAUAAAAAUAUUUAGAUCUAUCCAUUCCUCUACUCCCUCAAAAUUAAAUCAACAUUGAAGAAUCAUCCAGUUAAGAAAAUAACUGAUAGAUUACAUUUUUUCAUCCAGUAUUUUGAAUAUAAUUAAUUUUAUAUGUUGUUAUUUAAAAAAAUCAAGUUGAAUUCAUUUUGAAAGACAGAUGAGACGAUAUAACUAUAUAUUUUUAUCAAAAUUAUAUAACAGAACAUUUGUUUUAUUUUUCCUUAUAUUUAUAUAUAUAUCGAAUGAGAUGUAGUUAAAGAAUUACUCUGUAUUGAUUAUAGAAAUAUUAGUGAGGUAAAACCUAAGUUUAUUAUAUACCUAAAAAUAGAUAAUCUGUGACAAUAGUUGUAGGCCAAAAAAUUUUUUUACUGGUCGUGUAACACGUUUUAAAUAAAUUGACUAAAAAUACCUCAAAAAACAAAAUUCACUAAAUCACUAAAUUUUUGGUAAAUAUCAAAAAUAACAAAUAUAUUUUGUAUUAUUAUUAGUAAAUAACACCAAUAUAAAAUAAAAUUGUUAACGUUAUAACUGAAAAUGAUUUCUAUUAUUCUCAUUAGCUGUAAUAAUUGAACCGUAUCCUUAUUUUUUUAAUAGUCUGUAUAAGGAGGCUUGUUCCUCAGGUGCAAAUAAUAGUCAGAGUAACAAAAAAUAAAUUGUUGAAUAUCUCUAACUUUUGAUUUUAUCAAUAAAAAAAUUUAAGUUUUAUACUUGUAGCUAAGUGAAAAAAAAAUUAAUCACUUAAAAUACACGUAAUUGUUAAUAAAUGUAAGAAUUUAAAAUAAAAUAAUAUAUUUUUUAUUAAGUUUUCGCCUUAUAAAUGUACCCAUUAAUCACGAAUUUUUGGUAAUUACGUAAUCAAUUUGUAUUGGGAAUUUUAAAACUAAAACAGCCACGUUAUUCAAUUAAAAUAAUACAAAAUCAUAGUUAUGCUGUUUAUAAUAUUCAACUAAAAAUUCAAUGGUUUAAGUAAAUUUUGUUUUUUGGUGGGCAUUUUGGUCAAUCUAUUUUAAGCGCGUCGCGUGGUAAUUAAAAAAAAAAGAUGUUUAAUCUCAUUUUUUCAUAGAUUGUCUAUUUAGAAAUAUAGAAUAUGCUUAGGAGGUAUGCCACUCACUUUUCGAAGAUUGACUUACUUUGCGCCACUCUAACCUGUACAUCGAACUGUUACUGGUUCGAUACUGAGCCGGACGACCUAUUAUUUAUUAUGAAAUAAUUUUAAAAAUGUAUUCCAAAUGAAUCCAAACAAAUGUUUUAAUACACGAGCAGAAAAAGCGCUGGUCCGAUUAUAACUAAAAAAGAAUGCCUAAUUUAACAAAUUAUACAAUAUGUUCUUACAGAGAUUGGGUACAAAUAUUUCAACAACAAAUCUUUUGGGUUCUACUAGUUGUGCCAAUAUCUAGAGAUAUAGAGAGUACCUAUGAACUACAGAAGUAGAGUUUCAACUGAUGUACAUGAAGUUGGCGGUGCAAACGAUGGGAAUACUGAAAUAUGGAGAUGGAAAUCCGGACUACACGAUUAAUGAAAAUGGAGUUGGUGAAAUACCGAAUGUGAAUAGUGAAAAUAAAUUAGAGGUGUAAACAGGAUAUGGAUAUGGAGCUAGAGAGCCAAACUAUUCAAAUAAUGGAAAUAGAGUUGGUGAAAUAGCCAACACGAACAGUGGAUGUGGAGUUGGUGGUACAACCAGUAUGAACACUGGAAAUUUGGUUAGAGAUACAACCAACACGAAUCAUGUAAAUGGAGUUAGACGCAAAUUAUCAAACCAAAACUUCUUCUCAGAAAGAAAUAAUCAAUCAAUCCAGAAAACAGUUAAUGGAAUCGCUUGAAAACCACUGGCGCUAACCGGAUGGUAGAUGUCUUAGA